rnacentral:rRNA from 1 species
CCUACGGGGAGCAGCAGUGAGGAAUAUUGGUCAAUGGUCGGGAGACUGAACCAGCCAAGCCGCGUGAGGGAUGAAGGUACAGAGUAUCGUAAACCUCUUUUGUCAGGGAACAAAGGCGGGGACGUGUCCCCGGAUGAGUGUACCUGAAGAAAAAGCAUCGGCUAACUCCGUGCCAGCAGCCGCGGUAAUACGGAGGAUGCGAGCGUUAUCCGGAGUUAUUGGGUUUAAAGGGUGCGCAGGCGGUCUGUUAAGUCAGCGGUCAAAGCCCGGGGCUCAACCCCGGCCCGCCGUUGAAACUGGCAGGCUCGAGUUGGAGAGAAGGAUGCGGAAUGCGCGGUGUAGCGGUGAAAUGCAUAGAUAUCGCGCAGAACUCCGAUUGCGAAGGCAGCAUGCCGGCUCCACACUGACGCUGAGGCACGAAAGCGUGGGUAUCGAACAGGAUUAGAUACCCCAGUAGUC